rnacentral:rRNA from 1 species
AGUGAACGCUGGCGGUAGGCCUAACACAUGCAAGUCGAACGGCAGCACAGUAAGAGCUUGCUCUUACGGGUGGCGAGUGGCGGACGGGUGAGGAAUACAUCGGAAUCUACUUUUUCGUGGGGGAUAACGUAGGGAAACUUACGCUAAUACCGCAUACGACCUACGGGUGAAAGCAGGGGAUCUUCGGACCUUGCGCGAUUGAAUGAGCCGAUGUCGGAUUAGCUAGUUGGCGGGGUAAAGGCCCACCAAGGCGACGAUCCGUAGCUGGUCUGAGAGGAUGAUCAGCCACACUGGAACUGAGACACGGGCCAGACUCCUACGGGAGGCAGCAGUGGGGAAUGUUGGACAAUGGGCGCAAGCCUGAUCCAGCCAUACCGCGUGGGUGAAGAAGGCCUUCGGGUUGUAAAGCCCUUUUGUUGGGAAAGAAAAGCAGCAGGUUAAUACCCCGCUAUUCUGACGGUACCCAAAGAAUAAGCACCGGCUAACUUCGUG